rnacentral:rRNA from 1 species
ACUCAAAUGAAUUGACGGGGGCCCGCACAAGCGGAGGAACAUGUGGUUUAAUUCGAUGAUACGCGAGGAACCUUACCCGGGAUUGAAAUGUACCUGACAGGCCAUGAGAGUGGUUUUCCGGCAACGGCAGGUAUGUAGGUGCUGCAUGGUUGUCGUCAGCUCGUGCCGUGAGGUGUCGGCUUAAGUGCCAUAACGAGCGCAACCCUGACUGUCAGUUGCUAGCAGGUAAUGCUGAGGACUCUGACGGGACUGCCGGCGUAAGCUGUGAGGAAGGUUGGGAUGACGUCAAAUCAGCACGGCCCUUACAUCCGGGGCGACACACGUGUUACAAUGGUGGGGACAAAGGGCAGCUACCGGGCGACCGGAUGCCAAUCUCCAAACCCCAUCUCAGUUCGGAUCGGAGUCUGCAACUCGACUCCGUGAAGCCGGAUUCGCUAGUAAUCGCGCAUCAGCCAUGGCGCGGUGAAUACGUUCCCGGGCCUUGUACACACCGCCCGU